rnacentral:rRNA from 1 species
AUUGAACGCUGGCGGCAUGCCUUACACAUGCAAGUCGAACGGCAGCACGGGAGCAAUCCUGGUGGCGAGUGGCGAACGGGCGAGUAAAGUAUCGGAACGUGCCCAGUCGUGGGGGAUAACGUAGCGAAAGUUACGCUAAUACCGCAUACGAUCUAUGGAUGAAAGCGGGGGAUCGCAAGACCUCGCGCGAUUGGAGCGGCCGAUAUCAGAUUAGGUAGUUGGUGGGGUAAAGGCUCACCAAGCCGACGAUCUGUAGCUGGUCUGAGAGGACGACCAGCCACACUGGAACUGAGACACGGUCCAGACUCCUACGGGAGGCAGCAGUGGGGAAUUUUGGACAAUGGGCGAAAGCCUGAUCCAGCCAUUCCGCGUGCAGGAUGAAGGCCCUCGGGUUGUAAACUGCUUUUGUACAGAACGAAAAGGUUUCUACUAAUACUAGGAGCUCAUGACGGUACUGUAAGAAUAAGCACCGGCUAACUACGUGCCAGCCGCCGCGGUAA